UCAAACUUUCAAAAUCAUAUGAUCUUAUCGUAAUUUAUCAAACUGGAGAUAAGUAUUAUGAAACAGCUCAUGUAAAAAACGAAUAAUUCAAGUAAUUAUUUCAUAGAGAUCCACGACAUGGUACAUACAUAUGACAUCCUUAUAGUAUUUAACGCAUAUAUAGUAUACAAAGUCGUGAUUAUUAUUUCCACACACUCUGAUGUUUACUUCUUCCGCAGAUCCUCGAAGUAGCCUUUGGGGUUCUUUUCAAAUGAGUUCCUGGAAAUACGACGACCAUUUCCUCCCGGAGCCCUCAUCGUCGGGCCAGACCUCAUCCAUAAGAGGGCUAUAACCAGUGCUAGUACGAGGCCAAUGACUUUUGUUUGAGUAUCGAAAUACUCCAAGAUCAUCUUGAUAUGUGAUGAAAGCUUCUUUUUUUUUUUCUUUUUUCUUGAUUGGUUAGUUGAUGAAUGGGUGUAUUCAUCAGUUUAUAAAGCUGUGAUGUGUGUGUGAUUCAAUUCAAUCCCAAAGCCGACAAAGUCUCUUUAACUUUGUUAGUAGUUGUUACAGCGUUAGUAUAAAGCACAUAAGGUGGGUCAGGACUCGGAAUACAUGAUGUCUAAUGGCUG
rnacentral:lncRNA from 1 species